ensembl:lncRNA
CCCCACAUUGGGGCGCCCCCCCCACGAUGCGGAGGAUCCUCUCCAUGAGGAAGAAGAGGAACAGCGCUGCCAACACCACCAGCAGCUGCCAUGGCUGCACACGCGUGUGCGCCUCCGCGUGCUCCUCGUGGCCCCCCUCCUCGUGCACGUGCAGCUCUAGGAACUGCCCCGCACACACGCGUGUUAACACGUGUGGGGGGUGUGGGCACGUAUGGGGUCAGACGUGUGGUCGUGUGGGUGGGAAUGGGCACGUGUGGUCAUGCAUGUGGUCAUACGUGUGGUCAUAUGUGUGGGAAUGGGCACAUGUGGUCAUAUGUGUGGUUAUAUGUGUGGUCGUGGGUCAUACGUGUGGUCAUAUGUGUGGAAAUGGGCACAUGUGGGCAUGUAUGGGGUCAUGCCUGUGGUCGUAUGUGUGGCUAAGGUUCAUACAUGUGGUCAUAUGUGAGGCCAUAGGUGUAUGUGGUCAUGUAUGUGGUCAUACAUGUGGUCAUAUGUGUGGGAAUGGGCACAUAUGGUCAUGCAUGUGGUCAUACGUGUGGUCAUAUGUGUGGAAAUGGGCACAUAUGGUCACAUAUGUGGUCAUACGUGUGGUCAUAUGUGUGGGAAUGGGCACAUAUGGUCACAUAUGCGGUCAUACGUGUGGUUAUAUGUGUGGUAAUGGGUCAUACAUGUGGUCCUAUGGGUGGUCGUGGGUACGUGUGAUCAUGUAUGCGGUCAUACAUGUGGUUUUAUGUGUGGAAAUGGGCAUAUGUGGGCAUGUAUGGGGUCAUGUGUGUGGUUAUAUGUGUGGCUGUGGGUCAUACGUGUGGUCAUAUGUGUGGGAAUGGGCACAUGUGGUCAUGUAUGUGGUCAUGCGUGUGGUCGUAUGUGUGGCUGUGGGUCAUACGUGUGGUCAUAUGUGUGGGAAUGGGCACAUGUGGUCAUACGUGUGGUUAUAUGUGUGGGAAUGGGUCAUACAUGUGGUCAUAUGUGUGGAAAUGGGCACAUGUAGUCAUGUAUGUGGUCAUGCGUGUGGUCAUAUGUGUGGCUGUGGGUCAUACGUGUGGUCAUAUGUGUGGGAAUGGGCACAUGUAGUCAUGUAUGUGGUCAUACGUGUGGUCAUAUGUGUGGCCAUGGGUGUAUGUGGCCAUGUAGGUGGUCAUAUGUGUGGUCGCGGGUGUGUGUGGACAUGUAUGUGGUCAUACGUGUGGUAAUGGAUCAUACAUGUUGUCAUACAUGUAGUUAUAUGUGUGGCCAUGGGUCAUACAUGUACCCAGAACCACAUGUAUGACCACACAAACACCCAUCACCACACCUAUGACCACACGUAUGACCACACCUGCACCCAUGACACCACGCACGUAUGACCCCAGCCGUGCCUCCCCACACGUAUGACACACGCGUGUGCCCCCACCUGCAGCAGGAGGUGCAGCGUGACCACAUCUAUGACCACAUACACGGCCAUGACCACACGUAUGACCACAUAUGUCCGCUCACACACCCAUGACCACACGUAUGACCACAUAUAUGACCACACACACACCCAUGACCACACGUAUGACCACACAGGUCACCCCACACACCCAUGACCCCAUGUAUAACCUCACGUAUGACCACACACGCACCCACUACCCCACGUAUGACCCCAGCCAUGCCCCCCCCACACGUAUGACACACGCGUGUGCCCCCACCUGUGGCAGGAGGUGCAGCAUGACCACAUUCAUGACCACAAACACACCGAUGACCCCAUGUAUAACCUCACGUAUGACCACACACGCACCCACUACCCCACGUAUGACCCCAGCCAUGCCCCCCCAACACGUAUGACACACGCAUGUGCCCUCACCUGCGGCAGGAGGUGCAGCAUGACCACAUCCAUGACCACAUACACACCGAUGACCCCAUGUAUAACCUCAUGUAUGACCACACACGCACCCACUACCCCAUGUAUGACCCCACCCACGCCUCCCC